rnacentral:rRNA from 1 species
UACGUAGGGUGCAAGCGUUGUCCGGAAUUACUGGGCGUAAAGAGCUCGUAGGUGGUUUGUCGCGUUGUUCGUGAAAACUCACAACUCAAUUGUGGGCGUGCGGGCGAUACGGGCAGACUGGAGUACUGCAGGGGAGACUGGAAUCCUGGUGUAGCGGUGAAAUGCGCAGAUAUCGGGAAGAACACCCGUGGCGAAGGCGGCUCUCUGGUACGUGACUGACGCUGAGACGCGAAAGCGUGGGGAGCAAACAGG